rnacentral:lncRNA from 1 species
GGGGAGUGUCCGCGUCCCUGCCCGUGCGCGCGGUGAUUGAUGGAGCCGCGCCCGCCCCUUCCUUUGCCUGAGUCUCUUCUCGCCCCCUCCCUGCCGGUGCAGCCGCGUCUUGGUGCCCCGUUCCCUCCGCCAGGCGGGACCGGCCGGGCGCUCAAUGAGUGGCGGCAGCAGCAGCAUGCACGCCCGGUGAGUGCCUCUCGCCGCUCUGCCCGGGCUCGGGGUGCGCCGCGCCGCCGACCUAAUCCCGCUUCUCUCUGCUUCCCCCCUGCAGGUCCGUGCUCCUGCUCGCUCUCGGGCUCGCCGCGGAGCUGGUGGCCGCGGGUGAAAAGAAACCCUAUCACGGGCCAUGUGGGGGCCGAGAUUGCAGUGCGGGCUGCAAAUGCUUUCCAGAGAAAGGUGCUCGGGUAAGUUGGCUGUUUUGCUAGCUAAAGAAAAACAGUCCUGGUGUCUCUUAUCUUGCUUUUUCUGAAAAAAAAGAAAUAAUGUUAAAUACGCUUAAGAUUCAGUCUAAUGACUUCAUGAGACAGGAGAAGUGAUGCAGUCCAGCUGCAUCCAAACAGUCUGUGGCCAAGUUUUCAAAAAACGUUUAGAAGGUUUAUAUUUGCUAGCUGUGCAAGAAGAUAUUAAUGGAACUGGCUGAUCUACCAUGACAUCUGAGUGCUAUGCAGAAUGUCAAACAGGCUUUAUGUACAUAAAACAAGAUAAGUGAUUUGAAGUUUUAAUUAAUUGCGGUGGUGCUGGUUUCCAUACAGACCUUUCCUGUCUCAGCUAUAAAUGGUUCUAUAUGGUUGUCAAUAAAUGACUGUUGGCAUGCUUUUGGGGUGGGGGA